rnacentral:rRNA from 1 species
UACAGAGGGUGCGAGCGUUAAUCGGAUUUACUGGGCGUAAAGCAUGUGCAGACGGGUUGGUAAGUGGUGUAUGAAAGCGUCCGGCUUAACCGGGCAAGGGUAUGCCAGACUGCCAGUCUUGAGAAUGGGAGAGGGAUGUGGAAUUCCGGGUGUAGUGGUGAAAUGCGUAGAGAUCCGGAGGAACCCCAGAGGCGAAGGCGGCGUCCUGGCCCAUUUCUGACGUUCAG